AACGAACGCUGGCGGCAUGCCUAACACAUGCAAGUCGAACGAGACCUUCGUGUCUAUUGGCGCACGGGUGCGUAACGCGUGGUAACCUGCCCUUAGGUUCGGAAUAACUCCCCGAAAGGGGUGCUAAUACCGGAUAAUUUCUUCGGACCAAAGAUUUAUCGCCUUUUGAUGGGCCCGCGUUGGAUUAGCUAGUUGUUAGGGUAAAAGCCUACCAAGGCUACGAUCCAUAGCUGGUCUGAGAGGAUGAUCAGCCACACUGGGAAUGAGACACGGACCAGACUCAUAAGGGAGGCAGCAGUGGGGAAUAUUGGAGAAUGGGCGAAAACCUGAUCCAGCAAUGCCGCGUGAGUGAUGAAGGCCUUAGGGUUGUACAGCUCUUUUACCCGGGAUGAUAAUGACAGUAACGGGAGAAUAAGCCCCGGCUAACUCCGUG
rnacentral:rRNA from 1 species